rnacentral:rRNA from 1 species
AGAGUUUGAUCCUGGCUCAGGACGAACGCUGGCGGCGUGCUUAACACAUGCAAGUGGUGCGACGAACCAGGGCUUGCCCUGGGGCAAAGCCGCGAACGGGUGAGUAACACGUGAGUAACCUGCCCCGAUGACCGGGACAACCCGAGGAAACUCGGGCUAAUACCGGAUGUGGCGCACAGGCAUAAGCCUGUUCGCUAAAGGAAGCUUCGGCCUCCGCAUUGGGAGGGGCUCGCGGCCCAUUAGCUUGUUGGUGGGGUCAUGGCCUACCAAGGCAACGAUGGGUAGCUGGUCUGAGAGGACGAUCAGCCACACUGGGACUGAGACACGGCCCAGACUCCUACGGGAGGCAGCAGUGGGGAAUCUUGCGCAAUGCGCGAAAGCGUGACGCAGCAACGCCGCGUGGGGGAAGACGGCCUUCGGGUUGUAAACCCCUUUCAGGAGGGACGAAGGUUCACCGGUGAAUAGCCGUGUGGAUUGACGGUACCUCCAGAAGAAGCUCCGGCUAACUACGUGCCAGCAGCCGCGGUA